ACCAACACCUACCCUUUAUGGACUCCACUCAUUCUUCCUUCUUGGUGUGCAGUAUUGCCAGGACUUCCUAAGAGGGAGGAAAAGAACACAGGACCAGAGCAGGGCCUGGCAUGCAUAAACCAACUGACACACAUAGGACAAUUCUUGAGGUAUCAGAUUUAGAGGGAUCAGUCAUCAUGUGCUCUUGGUCUCAUCUGAUAAGUCUGCAUCAUCAUCAAUCAUAAAACUGAGGACCGAACCCAGGGC